AGAUAUUCACCGUCAUAAUCUCCAAGUAUAAUAUUACGCCCUCAUAGCUUUCAGCCCACAAUUACCCUCAUUCCAAUCACUAGAGUUUUUCAUACAGAACUGCCAUUCACAUUACGCUAUUUCACUCAAACAUAGAUUCAUUCUCUCUGUUGAACUAUAAUCAAAUUUUAGCAUUCAAUCUUUCUUCUUCUCAAAUAAUACCAAUCACAUUUCCAUUCCAUAAUUCACUUCACAAUAUUCAGAAACUCUCAAUUCUCUUAUUCAAAGAAAAUAACAAACAAAAGAAAAGAGGUAGUAUCAAGCUUAUUCCGGCUCACACUAUCACAGCGAUGGCCCUUGGCUCAUGACUAUCACAGUUUAGCACUUUAAUUAACUUCUACAACUCCUAUAUACUUUUCCUUGAUUUUCUUGAUUCUAACCA
rnacentral:lncRNA from 1 species